UCACGUCUUACGACGGCAGUUUCACUAGAGUUCCCAGCGUUACCUGAUGGCAACUAGUGAUGGGGGUUGCGCUCGUUGCGGGACUUAACCCAACACCUCACGGCACGAGCUGACGACAGCCAUGCAGCACCUGUGCAGCGGUCCCGAAGGAAAGCGCCAUCUCUGGCGCGGUCCACUGCAUGUCAAGCCUGGGUAAGGUUCUUCGCGUUGCAUCGAAUUAAACCACAUGCUCCACUGCUUGUGCGGGUCCCCGUCAAUUCUUUUGAGUUUCAGCCUUGCGACUGUACUCCCCAGGCGGUAUACUUAACGCGUUAGCUGCGGCACGGAAGGAGUCGACACCUCCCACACCUAGCACCCAUCGUUUACGGCGUGGACUAC
rnacentral:misc_RNA from 1 species